CACCAGGUUGAUUCUGCCUGACGUAGACGCUAUACUCUAAGAUUAACCCAUGCAUGUUUAUUGAAUAUAAAGAAAAGACGAACAGCUCAGUAACUCUUAUUUGAUUUGAUGUAUUAGGAUUCUAACUAUGUUAAAUUAUAGGUAACAAUAAUACAAUAAGAAUAAGAUCUAUCAGUUAGUUGUUAAGGUAAUGGCUUAACAAGACUAUGACGGAUAACGGUAUUACUUUGUAAUAUUCCGGAGAAGGAGCCUGAGAGAUUGCUACUAAGUCUAAGGAUUGCAGCAGGGGCGAAACUUGACCUAUGAUAUUAUAUUGAGGCAGUUAUGAGUAGUAUUUUAUAAUUAUUGUAGUAUUGUAAGUACAUAUUACAAGAUAAAUCGGAGGGCAAAUCGAGUGCCAGCAGCCGCGGUAAUACUUGUUCCGAUAGUGUGUAUGAUGAUUGAUGCAGUUAAAAAGUCUGUAGUUUAUUUUAUAAUAAGCAUUGUAAGGUAUACUGUAUGGUUAGGAGAGAGAUGAAAUGUGAUAACCCUAACUGGAUGAACAGAAGCGAAAGCUGUAUACUUAAAUGUAUUAUUAGAACAAGGACGUAAGCUAGAG
rnacentral:rRNA from 1 species